rnacentral:rRNA from 1 species
UGCAGUCGAGCGGACAGAUGGGAGCUUGCUCCCUGAUGUUAGCGGCGGACGGGUGAGUAACACGUGGGUAACCUGCCUGUAAGACUGGGAUAACUCCGGGAAACCGGGGCUAAUACCGGAUGCUUGUUUGAACCGCAUGGUUCAAACAUAAAAGGUGGCUUCGGCUACCACUUACAGAUGGACCCGCGGCGCAUUAGCUAGUUGGUGAGGUAACGGCUCACCAAGGCAACGAUGCGUAGCCGACCUGAGAGGGUGAUCGGCCACACUGGGACUGAGACACGGCCCAGACUCCUACGGGAGGCAGCAGUAGGGAAUCUUCCGCAAUGGACGAAAGUCUGACGGAGCAACGCCGCGUGAGUGAUGAAGGUUUUCGGAUCGUAAAGCUCUGUUGUUAGGGAAGAACAAGUACCGUUCGAAUAGGGCGGUACCUUGACGGUACCUAACCAGAAAGCCACGGCUAACUACGUGCCAGCAGCCGCGGUAAUACGUAGGUGGCAAGCGUUGUCCGGAAUUAUUGGGCGUAAAGGGCUCGCAGGCGGUUUCUUAAGUCUGAUGUGAAAGCCCCCGGCUCA